AGUGAACGCUGGCGGUAGGCCUAACACAUGCAAGUCGAACGGCAGCACAGUAAGAGCUUGCUCUUACGGGUGGCGAGUGGCGGACGGGUGAGGAAUACAUCGGAAUCUACUUUUUCGUGGGGGAUAACGUAGGGAAACUUACGCUAAUACCGCAUACGACCUACGGGUGAAAGCAGGGGAUCUUCGGACCUUGCGCGAUUGAAUGAGCCGAUGUCGGAUUAGCUAGUUGGCGGGGUAAAGGCCCACCAAGGCGACGAUCCGUAGCUGGUCUGAGAGGAUGAUAGGCCACACGGGGACUGAGAGACGGUCCAGACUCCUACGGGAGGCAGCAGUGGGGAAUAUUGGACAAUGGGGGCAAGCCUGAUCCAGCCAUACCGCGUGGGUGAAGAAGGCAUUCGGGUUCUAAAGCACUUUGAGCGGGGAAGAAAAGAAGCAAGUUAAUACCUCCGCGCGCUGACGUUACCCAAAGAAGAAGCACCGGCUAACUUCGUG
rnacentral:rRNA from 1 species